rnacentral:rRNA from 1 species
CGGCACGGGUGAGUAACACGUAUCCAACCUGCCGUCUACUCUUGGCCAGCCUUCUGAAAGGAAGAUUAAUCCAGGAUGGCAUCAUGAGUUCACAUGUCCGCAUGAUUAAAGGUAUUUCCGUAGACGAUGGGGAUGCGUUCCAUUAGAUAGUAGGCGGGGUAACGGCCCACCUAGUCAACGAUGGAUAGGGGUUCUGAGAGGAAGGUCCCCCACAUUGGAACUGAGACAGGUCCAA